CAACCCUCGAACCCCUCCGGGGGGUCGGCGUUGGGGAUCGGCCCUUUACGGGGCCGGCCCCGAAAUACAGUGGCGGUCUCGCCGCAGCCUCUCCUGCGCAGUAGUUUGCACACUCGCAUCGGGAGCGCGGCGCGUCCAUUGCCGUAAAACACCCAACCUUCUUUUUUCCA
rnacentral:misc_RNA from 1 species